AACCUGGGCUGUGGCUCUCUGUAGUUUGUGGUGCUGUGAUGGUGUCUACUGGUAGAAUAGCUUUUCUGGAGGUGGGUGGCAACUCCAUGCAGGAGUCAUUGGCUGGGCUUGAGCCCUCAGCCUGUGAUAUGUGGAUGCAGCUGUCCAGCCACUGCCCUUUAAACUGCCCAGCACACAUGGGAGGCCUGUGGCCCAGUGUCCACCAUAUGCUUGUCCUUCCUGCCUGAAAUUGCUGCUGCCCAUCACAUGAGCCCACACAGUAGCACCCCCAUCCUUGGGAUGAGAGUCAGAGCCUUUGGAAAGUCUGCAUCCCCAGGGCUAGAGCGCAGAUGACCUUAUUUCUAGAGGGACAGGCUGUUCUCUUGGAGGAGUCUCUGGCCCAGUCAUGCACAUCUGUAGCCCAGCCAUCCUCGUGCCUUCACCUCUGAUGUGUUUCACGAGCACGUAGUUCAACCCAGAUGGGACCACAGAGAUUCUGGGGCCGGCCAGGGGCGGCCACAUUAGCACCUACUGGCUCUGACUUUUUGUAUGAAGCAGGCCUCAGUUUGCUCAUUUUGAUCUAGUGACAAAAUUAAAAUUGUCCAUUUCCUAUAUAGAUACCAGCAAGACCACUCUGGGAUACAUGAACUCGCAUUUCCUUCUGUUUUAGUAAGGAAUGCCAGACUCAUCUUUGCUGGGAAUACAGUAUUAACCCUGCUCGAUGUAAAAUGUAAAUAGCACACGGGCCCCUGGGUUUGCACUUUGGUCUUGCCAUCACCCCCCAGUAACACCCGGGGAGUUCUGCGUUGAGUGGAUGGACUUACUCCUAUGAAGCGGCAUAAUUUGUCUCAAUUGAAAAAUGGCAUUCACUCUUACAGACGGUGGUCACUGCAAAGCCCCGGAAGCACAUGGCAUGUGUUCACUAAGAGGCCUUGAAUCCUGGGGAGUAAGGGGCGAAGGCCCUUAAACAACCACGGCUGCUGUACUGCCGCCCAGGUGGGGUGGCCAGAGAGGACUGGCCAUAGCCCAGUGAACCUGUGGCUUAUCUGAGGCCCUUGAGUAACUGACCACAUUUGGAGCUUUUGCUGGACAUGCCUGAUCUCUUGGUCUGGCUCUGCUGUGUAGUCCAUAGCCCAGCCAGAUGAGUUUGCACCCUCACAGGAGGCCAGCACCUUGCAAAGAUGCAGUCACCAUAGAUAUCCACAUAGCAGAGACUGAUUAGGAUCUGAGAUGAAGCACUGGAUUGCAGGAAUAACUGUCCAAAUUAGUUCUUCCUCCUCAACUCACAGGAGUAGCUGUGGACAGAGGAACCAACAUCUGCCACCUCUGGCCUUUUUCUUUCUUUUUUUCUUUUCUUUUCUUUUCUUUUUUUUUUUUUAGAUGGAGUUUUGCUCUUAUCCCCCAGGCUGGAGUACAAUGGCACUAUCUCGGCUCACUGCAACCUCCACCUCCCAGGUUCAAGCGAUUCUGCCUCAGCCUCCUGAGUAGAUGGGAUUACAGGUGCCUGCCACCUCACCCAGCUAAUUUUUGUAUUUUCAGUAAAGACGUCGUUUCACCAUGUUGGCCAGGCUAGUCUCAAACUCCUGACCUCAAGUGAUCUGCCCACCUCGGCCUCCCAAAGUGCUGAGAUUACAGACCUGAGCCACCGCACCUGGCCUAUUUUCUUAAAGGGGAACAAAUGAUCUUGACGACAUAUUAUUCCAUAACACCAGUUUAGGACGCAUGCCAGUUCCUGAUUAGAACACAGGGCCCAUGGAAGGGACUAUCAGAGGUGCAAAAAUUACUUCAAGAUGAGUUUGUUGUUUUCAUUUAAUAUUGCAGAAGUUAGAAGUCAUUUUACAAAUUUAGAAGAGAAAAUUUUUUCUUGGUAGUGUUUAAAAAUUAGGGGAUUGAAAGGAUCCAGGAUGGGCUUUGUGUGUGUGUCUCCGAUUCUCAUUUAUUAGUGAGCACACCUGUGUAUAUAUAUAAUUCACAAGGAGAUCAUCAAGGGAAAACAUUUUGCAUGUGUAAAGCUUCAUGAAGUUCUCUUUAAAAAAUACCAAAGCUUGUUUAUUUCUGAUAAUUAACCUAAGCCCUUAUGAAAAUAAACAAAAUGAAGGGAUUAUGACCGGCAUUACCAAAAACACCAAAAGGAACAAAGGGGCCUGCAUUAAAAUCUAUUUGCUAAUGCUUCACAACUAGGAGAGCAUGCCGUCUUGAUGUUUGAAAAACCCAGGGUCUUCGCCCUUCCUUUGAUUUGUGCAAUUCUGUCUUCCACAAUUCCGGAGCCUUCAGUGAGGGGUAGCUACAUGCCCCAUGCCUGCCCUUUCUUUCCUUCCUUGCUCACUUUACUAUGGGUGUAUUUUAAUCUUGUGUAAAAAUAUGCAUGAAUGAGUCAUGCACAUGUAUACGUUAUGUAUUUGACAAGUGGUGGUAAAACAAAAUCAAAACAGAUUUGGUUUGUGUUUUUGAAAUGUCAGUUCAUUUUGUGCCACUAACACUGUGAUGUAUAAAAGAGCUGUUUGAAUGCCUUUUAAUGUUGUGUUUUGUACUCUGGAAUUAUAUGGAAAAAGUUUGAUUUGUAAUUUCAAUACAUAUUUUAAAUGUAUUGUGUCUUACGUAGUUUGUCCCCCCAUCCCCCUUUAGCAGGGAUUCCUUUUUAAAGCUAUUUUGGCUGGAAUACAGGUGAUUUUUGUAAA
rnacentral:lncRNA from 1 species